rnacentral:rRNA from 1 species
GGGCCCGCACAAGCGGUGGAGCAUGUGGUUUAAUUCGAUGAUACGCGAGGAACCUUACCAGGGCUUAAAUGUAAGUUGCAUAAGCUAGAGAUAGCUUUUUCUUCGGACUACUUACAAGGUGCUGCAUGGUUGUCGUCAGCUCGUGCCGUGAGGUGUCAGGUUAAGUCCUAUAACGAGCGCAACCCCUGUUGUUAGUUGCCAUCGAGUAAUGUCGGGAACUCUAACAAGACUGCCGGUGCAAACCGCGAGGAAGGUGGGGAUGACGUCAAAUCAUCACGGCCCUUACGUCCUGGGCUACACACGUGCUACAAUGGCCGGUACAGAGAGCAGCCACUACGCGAGUAGGAGCGAAUCUAUAAAACCGGUCUCAGUUCGGAUCGCAGUCUGCAACUCGACUGCGUGAAGCUGGAAUC